rnacentral:rRNA from 1 species
GACGAACGCUGGCGGCGUGCUUAACACAUGCAAGUCGAACGGUAAGGCCCUAGCUUUCUGGGGUACACGAGUGGCGAACGGGUGAGUAACACGUGGGUGACCUGCCCUUCACUUUGGGAUAACUCUGGGAAACUGGGUCUAAUACCGGAUAGGACCGCCUCGUGCGGGGUGGGUGGUAAGUAUGUUCGGCGUGGGAUGAGGCCGCGGCCUAUUAGCUUGUUGGUGGGGUAAUGGCCUACCAAGGCGGCGACGGGUAGCCGGCCUGAGAGGGUGGACGGCCACAUUGGGACUGAGACACGGCCCAGACUCCUACGGGAGGCAGCAGUGGGGAAUAUUGCACAAUGGGCGGAAGCCUGAUGCAGCGACGCCGCGUGGGGGAUGACGGCCUUCGGGUUGUAAACUCCUUUCACCAUCGACGAAGGGUUUCUGACGGUAGAUGGAGAAGAAGCACCGGCUAACUACGUG